rnacentral:lncRNA from 1 species
CCAGAGGUUCCGUAUCCCUGCAGAGUGCCUGGCCCCGGAUGCACUGCGGAGGGUCUCCAAGAAGUGCCACCGCAAAGGGAACUGCACAGUGACUGCUGACGGGGCCACCUUCGGGGACCCAUGCCUUCCUGGCACGAGGAAGCAGCUGCGGGUGUCCUACACCUGCGUGCCCAAGCAGCUGCUGGAGGAGGUGGGCCCAGACACCUCGGACCCCUUCUUGCUCUCAAACUACAUGCACGGUGGCUGGUACAAAGGGCCCAGGUUCUCCAGGCUCCGGGAAGACCGGAUGAUUUUUACUAGCUCCCUGGCAGCUUUUGCCCACCUCUGGGGUACGUGGCCCCAAAGUGCCGGGGUGGGGAGGGGUGGGUCUCCAGGCCCAGGCACCCCGUGUGUUGCAGCAGGGGUUUACACCCCGAUGCCUCUCUUUGUUCUUCUCCCCUACCAGAUGUCCCCGAAAAAGUCGCCCUCUACUUUCUCUGCGGGGUGUCAGCGGGCCUCGCAUUGCUGCUGUGCAUUGUCAGCCCCAAGGCCGCCUUCCUGCGAGAGGCCAGGGAGGCUCUGCUGGGCCCGGGCAGCCGCUCGGAGCAGAGCAGGACCAAACUGCGGGAUGAGCAGGACGAGGACCUGCCCGAUGACAGCUCCUCUGACUCCUCCUUCCGCCGCCUCACCCGCGCCUACCGCGCCACCGAGAGCAUCUUCGGCCCCGAGCUGACAGCGGCCAUGGAGGGAGCAGCCGAGCAGCAGGGCCGUGGAGGGGAGGAGAUCUGGAUGCCCAAGGAGUCCAGCCCCUACACUAUCCAGAAGAUCAAAUCGGCCACCAAGUGAAGGGGUGAAGGACGAGGUGCUGUGCCAGGCACGGUGUUGGCUCUGUGCCUCCCUUCGUGCUUGGCACGCUGGAUGGUGAGCCCAGCUUUCUGGGGAAUGGGUUUGCUUUUUUUAGCGAAUAAAAGCAGAAGCUCAGAGUUCA